rnacentral:rRNA from 1 species
GGGGUACACGAGCGGCGAACGGGUGAGUAACACGUGGGUGAUCUGCCCUGCACUUCGGGAUAAGCCUGGGAAACUGGGUCUAAUACCGGAUAUGACCUCGGGCUGCAUGGCCUGGGGUGGAAAGGUUUACUGGUGCAGGAUGGGCCCGCGGCCUAUCAGCUUGUUGGUGGGGUAAUGGCCUACCAAGGCGACGACGGGUAGCCGACCUGAGAGGGUGACCGGCCACACUGGGACUGAGACACGGCCCAGACUCCUACGGGAGGCAGCAGUGGGGAAUAUUGCACAAUGGGCGAAAGCCUGAUGCAGCGACGCCGCGUGAGGGAUGACGGCCUUCGGGUUGUAAACCUCUUUCAGCAGGGACGAAGCGCAAGUGACGGUACCUGCAGAAAAAGCACCGGCCAACUACGUGCCAGCAGCCGCGGUAAUACGUAGGGUGCGAGCGUUGUCCGGAAUUACUGGGCGUAAAGAGUUCGUAGGCGGUUUGUCGCGUCGUCUGUGAAAACCCACCGCUCAACGGGGGGCCUGCAGGCGAUACGGGCAGACUUGAGUACUGCAGGGGAGACUGGAAUUCCUGGUGUAGCGGUGAAAUGCGCAGAUAUCAGGAGGAACACCGGUGGCGAAGGCGGGUCUCUGGGCAGUAACUGACGCUGAGGAACGAAAGCGUGGGUAGCGAACAGGAUUAGAUACCCU